CACAAUUUCUAAAACUAUUAAUACGUAUAGCAAAACCACUCACUGAGUUUGCAAAACUAAAAGCACAAACACUCCUUUGCACUCAGUUUGCUAUUUUGUAACACACACUUUGCAAAACUGUAUAGCACAAUUCACUGCACAACACUCUUUUUGCAGAACUGUAAACACAACUCACUGCUUACACUCAAUUACCAAAUUUCCAACACACUCCUAAAUUAUACACAUGUAUGGCUAUCAUUAACACUAUUUUGCCAACUGUCUGGCACACUUUCACAUGUGAAAACUGUUUUAGAUAAUUAGGUCACUUUGCAAUCAGCCUAAGCACUAUAAAUAAGCCACAGGUAAGCUGUUGAGUACAAUGGAAGGAGCAGUCUGAGUGAGAAGAGUGAGAAUCAGAGGAGGCAAAGGGAGAGGAUGUGGUAGUGAAGAAGUUGGAGGAAGAGGACGUGGAGUUGAAGAAGCGAUAGGGUUAGAGGACGAGGACAAGGAGGAGCAAGAAGAGGACAAGGAGGCCAAUGUAGAGGAUGUGGAGGUGAAGAAGUUGGAGAAAGAGGACAUGGAGUUGAAGAAGCAAGAGUGUUAGAGGAAGUUAGAGGAAGAGGACAAGGAGGAGCAAUAAGAGGACGAGGAGGGGAAAGAGGAAGGGUAAGAAGAGUAAGACAUAGAAUAACUGAUGACAUCAGAGCUACAAUAGUGGACCAUGUCAUCAACAUGGGAUGACCCUGAGGGAAGCUGGCCAACGGGUUCAGCCUAAUUUGAGCCGCUACACUGUGGCAAGCAUCAUUAGGACAUUUCAAAAUGAGAACCGAAUUGCUAGACGUCCAGAUGUUGGGGCAGAGGAAGAAUGUUCACUCCAGAGCAAGAGACCCAUAUAGUGAACAUGGUGAUUUCUAAUAAUGCAAUAAGACAAUAAUGACACCAUCUUUCAAAAUAUACACAGUGUAAGCAUUUCUGCACUACGUCGUGUACUUGCACGCCACAGAAUAAGAAUGAAGCAAAUUUACAGAGUUCCUUUCGAGAGAAACACAGAACGUGUAAAGCAACUGCGAUAUGACUAUGUGCAGAGAGUGAUGGAACUAGAAGCAGAUGACACGGGACAUGAGCUACUUUUUGUAGAUGAGGCUGGUUUUAACCUCAGUAAAACCAGGAGACGUGGCAGGAACAUUAUUG